GGCGGACUGCUCAGUAACACGUGGAUAACCUGCCCUAAGGUGGAGGAUAACCCCGGGAAACUGGGGAUAAUACUCCAUAGGUUAAAGGUACUGGAAUGUUCUUUAACCGAAAGUUCCGGCGCCUUAGGAUGGAUCUGCGGCCGAUUAGGUUGUUGUUGGGGUAGUGGCCCAACAAGCCUGUAAUCGGUACGGGUUGUGGGAGCAAGAGCCCGGAGAUGGAAUCUGAGACACGAUUCCAGGCCCUACGGGGCGCAGCAGGCGCGAAAACUUUACAAUGCAGGAAACUGUGAUAAGGGAACCCCGAGUGCCCGUAUAUGCGGGCUGUCCGGAUGUUUAAAACGCAUCCGAAGAAAGGGCCGGGCAAGACCGGUGCCAGCCGCCGCGGUAAUACCGGCGGCUCGAGUGGUGGCCACUUUUAUUGGGCUUAAAGCGUUCGUAGCUUGAAUAAUAAGUCUCUUGGGAAAUCUGCAGGCUUAACCUGCAGGCGUUUAAGAGAAACUGUUGUUCUUGGAACCGGAAGAGGUGAGAGGUACUCCGGGGGUAGGAGUGAAAUCCUGUAAUCCCCGGGGGACCACCGAUGGCGAAGGCAUCUCACCAGGA
rnacentral:rRNA from 1 species